rnacentral:lncRNA from 1 species
GUGAUUUUACCAUCCUUCCAAUAAUAUGUUGAUGUUUCUAUCAUAUGCAUCUUUAAAAAAGUGCUGCUAAAGUUUUAUGAAGCAGAUAUCUUUUUUAUGUUCUCUCCAACUAGUGGUUAUACUUAUGAAAUGCAUUAAAGUUUUAAGGCCUCUUAAUUAUUUUCUCUGGAAUGGAAACAGGUAAAAAUAUGACAGUUGUUUUAAAAAAUGUCAGCAUUUGUUAAAAUUGGGCAAGACAGAUGGCAGCUAAGCAUAUGGCUUACAAAAAAAUCUUAGGUUGGCAGAAGUAUUUUAGAUGCUGAAAUGGCAACAUUCAUAUUUGAAGAACAGCUUGUUAUUAUCCAUUUUCUCUAUUUGCAUGAAUGAUACUCAUUGAAAUUUGUCAUCAGUUAAGUGAGACAUGCAGUGAUGAUAUCACGGAUGAGAAAAUAUGCAUUCAUAGAUGCAGCAGUUCAUAGAAGGUCGAAAAUCAGUGAGAUCAAAUUAAAGAUGCCAAGUCCUUGCACCAGCCAGUCCAACAAUAUAAUUGCUUAAGUGGAGCAAAUGGUUAUGAAGAACUGUUGAUCAACUGGGAAAGAGAUAGCCUCCUAAAUUGGCAUUUGUGCAUACCAUCCUGCAUGAAGACCUGAAAAUAUGGAGUUUUCUCAAGAUGUAAUCUGUGAAUGCUGACGAAUGACCACAAGGCUCCACAACAGCAAGUAAGUAGAGAGCAUGAGAACAUUUCUCAUGCUCUGUACUUAUUUGAUCUUGCACCUAGCAAUUUUUGCUUUUUUCUAACUCUGAUGGACACUCUUCAUGGUUGUAAAUUUUCCAGUCAAUCCACUCUUGCUUCAGCUCUUUUUCAGUGGACAAAACAGACCUCCUAAAGAAGCAUUUGCAAUGGUUAUAAUUGUGGCAUUAUCAUUGUGAAAAAUGUAUAUAUCUAAAGUCAUUCUUUAGAUGUAUGUUGAAAAGUGAUGGCAGUUUCAAUUUUCUAGAGAGUACUUUUUUCAAAAUAAAUUAGGAAACCCUUAGAACUUGAAUGCACCUCGUAUAUGAAGAACUAAUACUGGUGUCGU